rnacentral:rRNA from 1 species
GACGAACGCUGGCGGCGUGCUUAACACAUGCAAGUCGAACGGAAAGGCCUCUUUCGGGGGGUACUCGAGUGGCGAACGGGUGAGUAACACGUGAGUACCCUGCCCUUUACUUUGGGAUAACUUCAGGCAACUGGGGCUAAUCCCGGAUAGGAGCUCCUGCUUCAUGGUGGGGGCUGGAAAGCUUCGGCGGUUGGGGGUGGGCUUGCGGCUUAUCCGCUUGUUGGUGGGGUAGUGGCUUACCACGGCUUUGACGGGUAGCCGGCCUGUGGGGGUGACCGGCCGUAUUGGGACUUAGAUGCGGCCCCAGUGGCUACGGGUGGCAGCUGGGGGGAAGAUUGCACCAUGGGUGGAGGCCUGAUGCAGCAGGGCCGUGUGUGGGAUGACGGUCUUGUGGUUGAAAAACGCUUUCGCGCAAGACGAAGCUUUGUGUGACGGUAGUGGGUAAAGAAGCACCGGCUAACUACGUG